CAAACAGAUGGUUGCCAGUUGAUACUUUAGUUGUAAUAGAACAAAAUGAAGCUAAACUUGUAGCAAGCUUGCAUGAAUACCUAGAUUGUGUUUGUAUUAGAGGCCAGUCGGGUCAAGGUAACUGUUACUAAAAAUAGAAAAACAAUAUCCGCUCAGUUACUUGACUCUUGAUGGAGGUAUCACACAGUUACUUGACUCUUGAUGGAGGUAUCACACAGUUACUUGACUCUUGAUGGAGGUAUCACACAGUUACUUGACUCUUGAUGGAGGUAUCACACAGUUACUUGACUCUUGAUGGAGGUAUCACACAGUUACUUGACUCUUGAUGGAGGUAUCACACAGUUACUUGACUCUUGAUGGAGGUAUCACACAGUUACUUGACUCUUGAUGGAGGUAUCACACAGUUACUUGACUCUUGAUGGAGGUAUCACACGGUUACUUGACUCUUGAUGGAGGUAUCACACAGUUACUUGACUCUUGAUGGAGGUAUCACACUCAUUGACUCUUGAUGGAGGUAUCACACUCAUUGACUCUUGAUGGAGGUAUCACACUCAACUUUGGUUUGUAAGUAGCCUACUUGCAGACCAAACUCGGAGUGCAUUUGGGGUCAAUUAAUAGAAAAAAUGAUUUUCCUUCAAUAACUUGAGU